AUUGAACGCUGGCGGCAUGCUUUACACAUGCAAGUCGAACGGUAACAGGCCGCAAGGUGCUGACGAGUGGCGAACGGGGGAGUAAUGCAUCGGAACGUGCCCAGUCGUGGGGGAUAACUACUCGAAAGAGUAGCUAAUACCGCAUACGAUCGAUGGAUGAAAGCGGGGGACCGUAAGGCCUCGCGCGAUUGGAGCGGCCGAUGUCAGAUUAGGUAGUUGGUGGGGUAAAGGCUCACCAAGCCAACGAUCUGUAGCUGGUCUGAGAGGACGACCAGCCACACUGGGACUGAGACACGGCCCAGACUCCUACGGGAGGCAGCAGUGGGGAAUUUUGGACAAUGGGCGCAAGCCUGAUCCAGCAAUGCCGCGUGCAGGAAGAAGGCCUUCGGGUUGUAAACUGCUUUUGUACGGAACGAAACGGCUCUGGUUAAUACCCGGGGCUAAUGACGGUACCGUAAGAAUAAGCACCGGCUAACUACGUG
rnacentral:rRNA from 1 species